AGGGGGCAAGCGUUAUCCGGAAUUACUGGGUGUAAAGGGAGCGCAGACGGCAGUGCAAGUCUGGAGUGAAAGCCCGUGGCUUAACUACGGGACUGCUCUGGAAACUGUGCAGCUAGAGUGCAGGAGAGGCAGGCGGAAUUCCUAGUGUAGCGGUGAAAUGCGUAGAUAUUAGGAGGAACACCGGUGGCGAAGGCGGCCUGCUGGACUGUAACUGACGUUGAGGCUCGAAAGCGUGGGGAGCAAACAGGAUUAGAUACCCUGGUAGUCCACGCCGUAAACGAUGAUUACUAGGUGUCGGGGGACGAUAGUGCUCCGGUGCCGGCGCAAACGCAUUAAGUAAUCCACCUGGGGAGUACGUUCGCAAGAAUG
rnacentral:rRNA from 2 species